rnacentral:rRNA from 1 species
UCGAGGAUAUUUAGCAAUGGGCGAAAGCCUGACUAUGUGACGCCGCGUGAGGGAUGAAGGUUCUCGGAUCGUAAACCUCUUUCGAUGGGAAAGAAAACUCGCAUUAACAGUGCGAAUUGACGGUACCCAGAGAAGAAGCCAUGGCCAACUCCGUGCCAGCAGCCGCGGUAAUACGGGGAUGGCGAGCGUUACUCGGAUUUAUUGGGUGUAAAGGGCAGGUAGGUGUCCCUUCAAGUCAGAAGUGAAAUCCUAUGGCUUAACCAUAGAACUGCUUUUGAUACUGUAGGGAUUGAGGACAGAAGAGGAAAGCGGAAUUCCCGGUGUAAGGGUGAAAUCUGUAGAGAUCGGGAGGAACACCUGUGGCGAAAGCGGCUUUCUGGUCUGUCCCUGACGCUAAACU